UACGUAGGGUGCUAGCGUUGUUCGGAAUCAUUGGGCGUAAAGCGCGUGUAGGUGGUUAGGCAAGUCAGAUGUGAAAGCCCCUCGGCUCAACCGGGGAAGUGCAUCCGAAACUGCCUAGCUAGAAGACGGUAGAGGAAGGUGGAAUUCCUAGUGUAGAGGUGAAAUUCGUAGAUAUUAGGAGGAAUACCGGUGGCGAAGGCGGCCUUCUGGGCCGAUCUUGACACUGAGACGCGAAAGCGUGGGGAGCAAACAGG
rnacentral:rRNA from 1 species